ACUCUCUCUUCUUUGUGAUGCAGCCGCUGGGUCAGAUACUGCUCGAGGGGCUGUCCACACAUCUAUUCAGUCAAUUCAUUUAUGCAACAAGAUUGAUCAAGAGUGUACCACAUGCUGUUCCUUGUUCCAUGACAUCUUGCCUUCAGGGAGCUUACAUUCUUGUGAGGGAAGGCAACCAAUCAAGAAACAAGCUAAUACGUAAUUUUUUUGGAGUGUUGUGGAGACAAAGGGACUAGCGCACCCAAGAGCAGCCCCACCACUCUGCGGGAGACCCCAUGCUCUCCCAAGGACAUGGGAGAUGAAGACAUCUCAGGGAGCGUUCCCUGAAAAACUCCUUUUAUGCCCAGAUGCCAGAGACAGAGGUGAAUGAUCGGCUCCUGCCCUGAGCAACCCAAGACCUGAGAGGUGCAGAUGACAAGUAAAUGAUCACAGGAUAGAGGGCCAGGAGCAUGGCUUUCAUCCACAAAGUCUCCUCAUGUUCCAAGAUGGCUGCUAGAGCACCCGCCAUCACUUUCAUUUUACAUAAAGGAAGAAGAGAAAGGCAGAAAGGCAUGCAGCCCUCUGUGCUCCUUUUACAAAGCCUUCUUGGUAGUUCCACCCAGUGAUUUGCACCUACAUCUUAUUGCCCAAGGCAUAUAGUCACCUGGCUGCAAGAAAUGAGGGGAGGUGGGAGUUUGCAAAACAAAAUGCCUAAUUUCAGCCAUUUCAGCAAUGCAUUAAAAUGUCAGAAGGAAUUUUCCUCUCACAGAAAGGUAAUAGGGUGUUCCAGGGAAAAGCAGCAGGUGCAAAGGUGAACAAGUAUGAAAAACCAUGGGCUAUUCGAGAAACAGUGAGUGGAUCUGACCAGCUUGAGUCUAGGCUGUGUGUAUGUAUGUGUGUGUGUGUGUGUCCACAUGUGUACACACACACACACACACAUAUAUAUGUCUGUAUGAUGGGGAAGGGGUUAGGAUGAGUUUUGAGAGGAUGGGGCUAGACAGUGAGGGACUGUGAACACAGAAGGUUGUUGACUUUAUUCUACAGGAAAUAAUAAAUCGUGCAGACUUUCAGGGGGUCAGUUACUCAGAUAAGUAAGGGCUUUUGGAAGAUGGGUCUGAGCUGAUGUCAGAGAGAGUGCAGCGGGGAGUGCUGGUGUCCCAGUGGGUGCAUCCUGGUCAUGGGGUGGUGAGGGAGCACGAGACACUCGAGAAUGGGCGUGGGGAUCAGAGAAAUGUAGCUGGUGUGGUGGGAAGGGGCCACGUUGUUGGGGCCCAGAGACACUGUGGGAAGAGAUGGAGACUCACAAAGAUUUUGAAGCAGGGUUUCCUUAUUAUGGAUUCUUCCACGGCCAGUGGGUGCACAUCUUUGGCAAGGGUGCCUCCUCUUGCUUCUCAGAGGAGGAAAGGAA